rnacentral:tRNA from 1 species
GCGGAUGUAGCUCAGUGGUAGUGCCCUUUUAACAUAAAUGAGGCCCUGGGUUCUAUCCCCAGCACCACA